rnacentral:rRNA from 1 species
CGAGCUGCUACGGCAGCGAAGUGGGUGAUGUCAAGCUUCCAAGAAAAGCCCUAUACCCGUUAAGGCAUGAUGGCCUGUACCCGAAACCGACACAGGUAGGGUGGUAGAGAAUACCGAGGGGCGCGAGGUAACUCUCUCUAAGGAACUCGGCAAAAUGGCCCCGUAACUUCGGGAUAAGGGGUGCCACCGCAAGGUGGUCGCAGUGAAGAGGCCCAGGCGACUGUUUACCAAAAACACAGGUCUCCGCUAAGUCGCAAGACGAGGUAUGGGGGCUGACGCCUGCCCAGUGCCGGAAGGUUAAGGAAGCUGGUCAGCGUAAGCGAAGCUAGCGACUGAAGCCCCGGUGAACGGCGGCCGUAACAAUAACGGUCCUAAGGUAGCGAAAUUCCUUGUCGGGUAUGUUCCGACCCGCACGAAAGGCGUAACGAUCUGGGCGCUGUCUCGGAGAGAGGCUCGGCGAAAUAGAAUUGUCUGUGAAGAUGCGGACUACGUGCACCCGGACAGAAAGACCCUAUGAAGCUUUACUGUAGCUUGGUAUUGUGCCCGGGCUCGCAAUGCGCAGGAUAGGUGGGAGGCUUUGAUUAUCGGCUUGCGGGUCGAUGUGAGCCAACGGUGAGAUACCACUCUUUGCGAGCUAGGGUUCUAACGGUCACCCGUUAUCCGGGGACCGGACAGUAUCAGGUGGGCAGUUUGACUGGGGCGGUCGCCUCCUAAAAGGUAACGGAGGCGCGCAAAGGUUUGCUCAGGCUGGUUGGAAAUCAGCCGACGAGUGUAAAAGCAGAAGCAAGCUUGACUGUGAGACCAACAAGUCGAACAGGGACGAAAGUCGGCUUUAGUGAUCCGACGGUUCUGAGUGGAAGGGCCGUCGCUCAACGGAUAAAAGUUACUCUAGGGAUAACAAGCUGAUCUCCCCCAAGAGUUCACAUCGACGGGGAGGUUUGGCACCUCGAUGUCGGCUCAUCGCAACCUGGGGCUGAAGUCGGUCCCAAGGGUUGGGCUGUUCGCCCAUUAAAGCGGUACUCGAGCUGGGUUCAGAACGUCGUGAGACAGUUCGGUCCAUAUCCGGUGCACGCGCAGGAACAUUGAGAGGAUUUCUCCCUAGUACGAGAGGACCGGGAGGAACGCACCUCUGGUGUACCAGUUAUCGUGCCAACGGUAAACGCUGGGUAGCCAUGUGCGGAGUGGAUAACCGCUGAAAGCAUCUAAGUGGGAAGCCCACCUCAAGAUGAGUGUUCCCAUGGCGUUAGCCAGUAAGGUCACGGGAAGAACACCCGUUGAUAGGCUCUACGUGGAAGCGCAGUAAUGCGUGAAGCGGAGGAGUACUAAUAGACC